AGAGUUUGAUCAUGGCUCAGGAUGAACGCUGGCGGCGUGCUUAACACAUGCAAGUCGAACGAGAGCUUUGGGAAACUAGAGUUCUAGUGGCAAACGGGUGAGUAACACGUGGGUGACCUACCUCGGAGUGGGGGAUAACAGACCGAAAGGUUUGCUAAUACCGCAUAUGCCUGGCGGAUCAAUCUGCCAAGUAAAGUCGCAAGACGCUUUGAGAGGGGCCCGCGGCCCAUCAGGUAGUUGGCGAGGUAAUGGCUCACCAAGCCGAUGACGGGUAGCUGGUCUGAGAGGACGAUCAGCCACACUGGCACUGAGACACGGGCCAGACUCCUACGGGAGGCAGCAGUGAGGAAUAUUGCGCAAUGGGGGAAACCCUGACGCAGCGACGCCGCGUGGGCGAUGAAGGCCUUCGGGUCGUAAAGCCCUUUUGUCAGGGACGAGUGAGGACGGUACCUGGCGAAUAAGUCUCGGCUAACUACGUGCCAGCAGCCGCGGUAAUUC
rnacentral:rRNA from 1 species